rnacentral:lncRNA from 1 species
AUGUGUCAUCCUGUGUUUUUCCCUAUCUCUUAUUCUCAGAUGGAUUUACCAGUGGUGGCAACAGUCCAUCUGAAUAUCUUCUCAAAUAAGACAGUGGUGCGAGACCUCCUCCGGUCACAUGGCUUUGUGUUGACAGAUCUGGGCAGCGAUCAGGUGCGUGUAGAGGGGUCGUAUCUGAAACUUAAGGCUGUGAAGGCCUCUUUGGAGCAGCUUCUUGACUCACAAACUACGACAGACUUCACGCAGGUCCCAAAGGCUUCCACUGGAGCCAUUUCCAAACGCCACAACAGUAACAGCUCAGUGUCAGAUGGUAACAGAGGCCGAAACAAGCCUCCGCAUGCUUCUCCAUCCUCACGCACCACCUUCCCGUCUCGGGCGUCAAGAGAGUCCUUUGUGGUGGAUGUAGAUCUGUUUAGGUAUGCAGAUCGGCUCAGGAAAGAAGACAUUGUCGGAAUUCUGAAGAACCAUGAUGUUAACAUGGAGGUGGAUGACAUUGGCGAGAGCAUCAACAUCACUUUACAGGGGAAGAGAGCGAGAACAGCUGUUGGUAAACUACAGAGCCUCCUGAAUGAUCUCAACAAUUCACUGCGCACACAGGAAGUCCCUCUGAAGGACAUGGAUCAUGAAGGCAAGGCUCUUUUAGGGAAGAUAAGGAAUGACGAAAACAUUUACAAUUCAGUACUCGUAUGUCUGAUUAAUGACAAAGUUCACCUGAUAGGACCGUCAGGUGAGGGCUUCGAGUUAAAGGAGAGGCUGUUGGGGAGGCCGAGGGAGCAGUCAGGACGUACGGGGAGGACACUUGUCAGAAGCUCCACAACAAGAGAUAGGGGUGCUGUGGAUAAGAUAUCUCCAGCUGCAGGUUACUCUCCACCUGCUGAGCCCAAGUUGAGAGCUGCUACUGUUUCUCGAUAUUUUAGGAGAAGCCGCUCUGACCCCUGCAGAAGAUCCCGGGAAGAAAGGGUCAAUAUGCAAGAGGUGGUAAACAGAACUCCUAAAUCACCCAAGAAACUGUUCUCACGAAUUCUAAAGUUUUUCAACAUACAUAAAGGCAAGUGA